rnacentral:tRNA from 4 species
GCGGACGUGGCUCAGUGGUAGAGCAUCACCUUGCCAAGGUGAGGGUCGCGGGUUCAAAUCCCGUCGUCCGCUCCA